rnacentral:lncRNA from 1 species
CGCAGCAAGGGCCAGACUCUGCGCUAGCAGGCGCUGCGCGCCAACCGGCCGGCACCUGUCGCAGAAGGUGCAACCGAUCGCACUGUCGCGCAGAAGCUCCUCAAUGGCCAGCGCCAGCUGCAGCCCCGGCCGCCCACUCGCCUCAUCUGAGCCUGGGCAAAUCUGGAUUGGGAAAGUUGACAUUAAUCAACUCAUUAUUCCUCACAGAUUUGUAUUCUCCAGAGUAUCCAGGUCCUUCUCAGAGAAUUAAAAAGCCUGUACAGGUCUAGAUAUUGGUAUUUUUAAUUGAUGAUAAGCUGGAAUAAUAUUAAUACACACAAAGCACGUGUUGUAACUUUCAUUAUGCUUCCUUAGAGCGCUGCUCUAAGCUGUUGAUGAAAAAUAUUGUUGGUGAGCUCUGCUUAGGUAAUAUAUAGGACAUGAGCAGAGAGGAGGCACGUGAACAGUUCUGGCCUGGAGUAGGCUUCAUUGAGGCUGUGAUGCUUUUAGCUGGAUUUGAAGAAGUGGUAGUGAUCAUCCCAGUGCACAGGAUAGGUGGACAGUCUAUGUAUUCUGAGCAGUAACUCAUAUAUCUCAUACUGCAAGACCCCAAAGGAGUAAUUUUGUGAACUCUGUUCACGGAAAGGGCCUGGGAGCUGCAACACCUCAACAGCAACAAGCACACCUGCU